rnacentral:rRNA from 1 species
GACGAACGCUGGCUGCGUGCUUAACACAUGCAAGUCGAACGCUGAAACCCUGGUGCUUGCACCGGGGUGGAUGAGUGGCGAACGGGUGAGUAACACGUGAGUAACCUGCCCCGACUUCGGGAUAAGCCCGGGAAACUGGGUCUAAUACCGGAUAUGAGCGCCCCUCGCAUGAGGGCUGCUGGAAAGUCUUUUCGGUUGGGGAUGGGCUCGCGGCCUAUCAGUUUGUUGGUGAGGUAAUGGCCCACCAAGACGACGACGGGUAGCCGGCCUGAGAGGGCGACCGGCCACACAGGGACUGAGACACGGCCCAGACUCCUACGGGAGGCAGCAGUGGGGAAUAUUGCACAAUGGGGGAAACCCUGAUGCAGCGACGCAGCGCGCGGGAUGACGGCCUUCGGGUUGUAAACCGCUUUCAGCAGGGAAGAAGCCCCUUGGGGUGACGGUACCUGCAGAAGAAGUACCGGCUAACUACGUGCCAGCCGCCGCAGUAA